CCCCUCUAAGGAUUACACCUGGAGACUUUCCAGUACUCUACCAGUCUCGGCUACAGGAGGGAAAGUCAAACAGAGGCAUAUCCAUUCCAUUCCUAGCUUGGGCAGUGGCUAGCGAGUGGAAGACAAUCCUCUAAAGUC